CACACACACACACACACACACACCUGGACCAGCAGCUACGAGCCCAAACCCAAGUGCCUGGCGAUCCCCCACCUCCCCUUCACCCACACCCCUCCCCUCCCCUCCCCCUCCCUACCUGUGGGCAGAAUAGACUGAGAACUUUUCCUCUGCUGUUGUACCACACUCACUCACUCACUCACUCAUUCAUCUUCUUUCAGUAUCAAUGAGUCGCUUAAGAAACUGUCCACUCUGACUACUUUGCUAAGCUAUGUUGAGAUACUACCCAGAAUAUUUGCGCUGCGUUUGAAAUAACUUCUGAAGCCAACUUUAUAUUGUUCUCCUUAUUUAUUUGCAAUUUGUUUUGCAUAUAUCAGGCACAAGAAAAGUAUAUUUUAGGAGGUGCCUGUUUGUCCUUCAUGCUUUUUUUUUUUUUAUAGUAUUGUACAAAAAUACUUUUGACACUCAAGAACAUUUUGAAUCCUCUUGUACAAGUUUUGAUGAGAAAAUGUCCUGUAUUAGAAAUAUAUAUAAAAAAAAAAAAAGAAGAUACUUGACAAUUUAAAAUGGUUGUUCUUUGUCUUGUACAUAGGGUUUUUUUUUCCUUCGUGUGUAAAGCUUAAGGAUACUGCUUGGAAUCAUGGACAAGCUGUUGAAAGAUUUAGGUAGUCUAGUUUUACCUCGUUUUUGUACAUAUGUGUUGGUAUUCACCUAGUUGGUGUGAAGGAUUGUUAAUACAGCGUCACUUCGUGUGUUUGUUUAAAAUAUUUCGACCAACCAGAGGACCAGUGACUGGAAAGUGUUAAUUUAUUUUUUAUAUGUGCAGGGACAUUUUUUUUAUGUUUUGCACCAUUUUCUUGAUGUCAUUUUAUAGUUCACAGUGGCCCGUGUAUUUCCAUACCAUCUUCAAUUUUGUAUCGCAAAAUAUGCAAAUUCUCUUUUGUAUUUCUUGAGCACCAAAAGAACAUUACAGGUCCUAACUCUCUUUGCUGAGAAAAAAAAAAAAAAUCUUGAAAUGGUUGAAAUGGUUGUGUACAUCGACUGUUUUAUUGAUGAAUUAAAAUCAGUUCACAGUGUGUGUUGAAGUCCAUUUUGUAAUCUGAUUUUCUUUUGGAACAGUGGUUUAAUAAAGAACCUAACUACCUCCCC
ensembl:lncRNA